rnacentral:lncRNA from 1 species
GAAAGAGAAAUGCAAACCAAUUUUUUCUUUCAAAGCAAUUCUUUCUUUCCUUGGGGAACAAGGCUGCUCUAACAGGUGGAACAUUAUUAGAAUCUGUAGAAAGAUGAGGUGGUCACAUAUUUGUUCUGGAAUAUGGUGUGGGAUAACCAGAAAAAUGGAAUUGGUCAAAUUCAUCCAUUGUUUUUGACCUCAGGAAUGAAGGGCCUUAGAGUCGGAGCAUACAGGACUGCGUAAGCCUGACCUUCCAGAGCCAUCCACGGAAUAGAGGCAAGAGCUAUGUAAGCAGGUUAUGGAAAUAUGUGAUUAACCCUUGCCAAGGUGGCCCGUCAAAUGAAUGCUUGCUGGAUUUCUUCUUAAUAACUGCUCAGGAGCAGCACCCAUCCAAGCCUUUCUCCCUGCAUGCAGCUGUAGCUGGAGAACUGCUGAAGCAAUGUGCUGAUGUGCUACAGCUGGCUAAAUCCUGCAGAUGCAGUAAUGUGGCUGUGUGCCGCAGACAACUCAGGACUGCUGC